GCCUCUUGGCAUUUAAGAAAAUAGCAGAAGCAACAAAGGCUCUCUGACCUUCCUCUCACCUUCGCUGAAGAAGACCCAGAGGAAAGAAGCCAAAGACACAGACCAGAGGAAGAAUCCGGGCCAACCAGCCUGGCUAACGUAUCCCAGUGUAGGACCAUUACAUCACACCCUUCUGUUGUAUGAUUAUGCUCUCCAUCAUGGUCCACGCUGCCUCAGAUCUACCACAGCAAACACACAGCUUGACCUGAUUCCUGCAGUCUUCAUCUCCUAAACAUUCAUUGGCAGAGAAACAUUCCUCAAGCAGAAAAAGAAAUAUCCA